rnacentral:rRNA from 1 species
CCUACGGGAGGCAGCAGUAGGGAAUCUUUCACAAUGGGCGAAAGCCUGAUGGAGCCACGCCGCGUGCAGGAUGAAGGCCUUCGGGUUGUAAACUGCUUUUAUAAGCGAGAAAUAUGAUGGUAACUUAUGAAUAAGGAUCGGCUAACUACGUGCCAGCAGCCGUGGUCAUACGUAGGAUCCGAGCAUUAUCCGGAGUGACUGGGUGUAAAGAGUUGCGUAGGUGGCAUACGAAGUAGCUAGUGAAAUCUGGUGGCUCAACCAUUCAGACUAUUCGCGAAACUGUUAGGCUCGAGACCGUGAGGGGUAACUGGAAUUUGUAGUGUAGGAGUGAAAUGCGUAGAUAUUAGAAAGAACACCAAUAGCGAAGGCAGGUUACUGGGACGAUUCUGACACUAAGGCACGAAAGCGUAGGGAGCAAACGGGAUUAGAUACCCGGGUAGUC